rnacentral:rRNA from 1 species
GGGUUGUGAGGUUAAGCGACUAAGCGUACACGGUGGAUGCCCUGGCAGUCAGAGGCGAUGAAGGGCGUGCUAAUCUGCGAUAAGCGCCGGUAAGGUGAUAUGAACCGUUAUAACCGGCGAUACCCGAAUGGGGAAACCCAGUGUGAUUCGUCACACUAUCAUUAACUGAAUCCAUAGGUUAAUGAGGCGAACCGGGGGAACUGAAACAUCUAAGUACCCCGAGGAAAAGAAAUCAACCGAGAUUCCCCCAGUAGCGGCGAGCGAACGGGGAGGAGCCCAGAGCCUGAAUCAGCAUGUGUGUUAGUGGAAGCGUCUGGAAAGGCGCGCGAUACAGGGUGACAGCCCCGUACACAAAAGCGCAUGUGCUGUGAGCUCGAUGAGUAGGGCGGGACACGUGGUAUCCUGUCUGAAUAUGGGGGGACCAUCCUCCAAGGCUAAAUACUCCUGACUGACCGAUAGUGAACCAGUACCGUGAGGGAAAGGCGAAAAGAACCCCGGCGAGGGGAGUGAAAAAGAACCUGAAACCGUGUACGUACAAGCAGUGGGAGCACCCUUUGGGGUGUGACUGCGUACCUUUUGUAUAAUGGGUCAGCGACUUAUAUUCUGUAGCAAGGUUAACCGUAUAGGGGAGCCGGAGGGAAACCGAGUCUUAAUUGGGCGUUAAGUUGCAGGGUAUAGACCCGAAACCCGGUGAUCUAGCCAUGGGCAGGUUGAAGGUUGGGUAACACUAACUGGAGGACCGAACCGACUAAUGUUGAAAAAUUAGCGGAUGACCUGUGGCUGGGGGUGAAAGGCCAAUCAAACCGGGAGAUAGCUGGUUCUCCCCGAAAGCUAUUUAGGUAGCGCCUCGUGAAUUCAUCUCCGGGGGUAGAGCACUGUUUCGGCUAGGGGGCCAUCCCGGCUUACCAACCCGAUGCAAACUGCGAAUACCGGAGAAUGUUAUCACGGGAGACACACGGCGGGUGCUAACGUCCGUCGUGAAGAGGGAAACAACCCAGACCGCCAGCUAAGGUCCCAAAGUCAUGGUUAAGUGGGAAACGAUGUGGGAAGGCCCAGACAGCCAGGAUGUUGGCUUAGAAGCAGCCAUCAUUUAAAGAAAGCGUAAUAGCUCACUGGUCGAGUCGGCCUGCGCGGAAGAUGUAACGGGGCUAAACCAUGCACCGAAGCUGCGGCAGCGACGCUGAUGCGUUGUUGGGUAGGGGAGCGUUCUGUAAGCCUGUGAAGGUGGCCUGUGAGGGUUGCUGGAGGUAUCAGAAGUGCGAAUGCUGACAUAAGUAACGAUAAAGCGGGUGAAAAGCCCGCUCGCCGGAAGACCAAGGGUUCCUGUCCAACGUUAAUCGGGGCAGGGUGAGUCGACCCCUAAGGCGAGGCCGAAAGGCGUAGUCGAUGGGAAACGGGUUAAUAUUCCCGUACUUGGUGUUACUGCGAAGGGGGGACGGAGAAGGCUAUGUUGGCCGGGCGACGGUUGUCCCGGUUUAAGCGUGUAGGUGUGUGUUCCAGGUAAAUCCGGUUCACUUUAACACUGAGGCGUGACGACGAGGCACUACGGUGCUGAAGCAACAAAUGCCCUGCUUCCAGGAAAAGCCUCUAAGCAUCAGGUAACAUCAAAUCGUACCCCAAACCGACACAGGUGGUCAGGUAGAGAAUACCAAGGCGCUUGAGAGAACUCGGGUGAAGGAACUAGGCAAAAUGGUGCCGUAACUUCGGGAGAAGGCACGCUGACAUGUAGGUGAAGUGAUUUACUCACGGAGCUGAAGUCAGUCGAAGAUACCAGCUGGCUGCAACUGUUUAUUAAAAACACAGCACUGUGCAAACACGAAAGUGGACGUAUACGGUGUGACGCCUGCCCGGUGCCGGAAGGUUAAUUGAUGGGGUCAGCGCAAGCGAAGCUCCUGAUCGAAGCCCCGGUAAACGGCGGCCGUAACUAUAACGGUCCUAAGGUAGCGAAAUUCCUUGUCGGGUAAGUUCCGACCUGCACGAAUGGCGUAAUGAUGGCCAGGCUGUCUCCACCCGAGACUCAGUGAAAUUGAACUCGCUGUGAAGAUGCAGUGUACCCGCGGCAAGACGGAAAGACCCCGUGAACCUUUACUAUAGCUUGACACUGAACAUUGAGCCUUGAUGUGUAGGAUAGGUGGGAGGCUUUGAAGUGUGGACGCCAGUCUGCAUGGAGCCGACCUUGAAAUACCACCCUUUAAUGUUUGAUGUUCUAACGUGGACCCGUGAUCCGGGUUGCGGACAGUGUCUGGUGGGUAGUUUGACUGGGGCGGUCUCCUCCUAAAGAGUAACGGAGGAGCACGAAGGUUGGCUAAUCCUGGUCGGACAUCAGGAGGUUAGUGCAAUGGCAUAAGCCAGCUUGACUGCGAGCGUGACGGCGCGAGCAGGUGCGAAAGCAGGUCAUAGUGAUCCGGUGGUUCUGAAUGGAAGGGCCAUCGCUCAACGGAUAAAAGGUACUCCGGGGAUAACAGGCUGAUACCGCCCAAGAGUUCAUAUCGACGGCGGUGUUUGGCACCUCGAUGUCGGCUCAUCACAUCCUGGGGCUGAAGUAGGUCCCAAGGGUAUGGCUGUUCGCCAUUUAAAGUGGUACGCGAGCUGGGUUUAGAACGUCGUGAGACAGUUCGGUCCCUAUCUGCCGUGGGCGCUGGAGAACUGAGGGGGGCUGCUCCUAGUACGAGAGGACCGGAGUGGACGCAUCACUGGUGUUCGGGUUGUCAUGCCAAUGGCACUGCCCGGUAGCUAAAUGCGGAAGAGAUAAGUGCUGAAAGCAUCUAAGCACGAAACUUGCCCCGAGAUGAGUUCUCCCUGAGACUUUAAGUCUCCUGAAGGAACGUUGAAGACGACGACGUUGAUAGGCCGGGUGUGUAAGCGCAGCGAUGCGUUGAGCUAACCGGUACUAAUGAACCGUGAGGCUUAACCUUACAACGCCGAAG